UACAGCACUCAUUAUGGAAAGAAGUUAUCCAAAAGCUCCUGUAUUAUGUUAGGCUUCAAUCUAGUCGUACAUAACUAUUCCGUAUUUGAGUGUAUUGGCAAAUGAUAAGUGUAUACCCAUACAUAAUUAUUCCGUGUUCGAGUUUAUGGGGAAACAGUCUAAUUUGUGUGUCCUAACUGUUCCGUGUUCAGGGGGUAGUAGUGUUUUAAGGUACUCAUGUAUGCCAUUCCGUGUUCGGGUAUAUGAAAAACUAGUGAUAAGUAUCUGUGCCUAUGCAUAAUAUAUAGUAACUGAUUGAUCAUCCAUAAUAGUGAUGCAGUACACAGCAUUCAUAUGUUUUAUGAUUUG
rnacentral:lncRNA from 1 species